AAACUUACUUUGAUGGAGUCAAUGGACGACCAAGAAGACCCAUGGCUUAGGCUGGUUACUUUUAUUGCACUUCGGCUGGGUGCCCGCCUAAGGUCAACCUGAGUGUUUGACCUACAUCAUAAUUUGUGGCAACAGGGGCUGGCCUGCAUCUGCUCGGCCCCCA